UGUAGUUAGAAAUUCGGAUGCAUGUUUACAUUUGGAUGAACACGCCUGCAUGAAUCUGUAGUGGUGAAAACUUUAACUCUGACAAAUUUGUUCUGAUACAAGACACUAUAGAUUUGAAUACUUGUGCGUCAUUCCGUAAGUUAUUUGUGCACACCAACCUACAGAAAAACAGUAAGCCGAAAAUUUAUGGAAAUUCAUACUGUCUUUCUUCGAUUUGGAUUGAGUCCGUCGAUAGUUAUUUAACCUUACCGACUAUCAUCCAACUAUUCACGAAGAGAACGGACUCGAAUCAAUAUCAACAUGAGAAGCAUGUCCAGUGUCAUCGAAAUAGACAACCGUGACAACUACCCUACCAGUUGUAUACAGUAUAUGAUAUAUCACGUCCAACUGGAAACUGAGCAGCACGUGUAGCUAUUUUCAGGAUCUGAAAGCCGAAAGCGAUAGUUGCACAUUCUGUAGCCAUGCUCGGCAGUCGGAGCAACAGAUUUUCUGGAUAUGUUUCUGGUUGGUGAGCGAGUAUUGGAAAAUGAUGUUCAAAGCAGAAUCGAUGCCGAUGCGGAAAAUGUCGAAGCGAAUUCAGCUCCAUCUGAGUUUGAAUGGAACAACUAUUUCCAUCUGGAAAUUUAUUAUCUCUAGGAAAGACCUACGAAGGACUUCCAAUCAAGGGAGUAAAACUCUUCCAACAGCCGGACAAUAAAACCACAGACAGUGAUAAAACCAUCUUUAUCGAAGGCUGAAUCUACGCCCGUGAAUGGAUUUCUCCAGCAACUACCAUAUUCAUCCAAAACCAGCCCAUCAGUUCAUCUGAUCAAAACAUUUCCGAACUUGCCACCACAUACAAUUGAUUCUACAAUGGCUACAAAUUCUCCUUCUAGGGUAUGAACUGGUAGAUAUCGUGGGCUGACCUUGAGAACGUUUUGGAGUAGCUUGAGCACCUGAAUAUUGAACACUGGCUUAACAUUCAGGAUAACUCAUCUUAUCUGAGUAUUCAGUAUGAUGAAACAAUGUGGUUUACGAUUCAAACAUUUCAACUUCAUUUACAUGCUCUUAGGAUCGAAAUCUUCCCAAGAUUUCGGAUAUAUGAGGUUUCACGGCAUAGUCAAACUUGAGCUCCAAUAUUUUUCUGUAAAGCCAACAUGUAUGAUGUGUGAUGAUGAACAAUUUUGCUGAAGAAAAUGUGAAUUGUGAUUGUGAUUUGUGUUGAAAUUCGAUUUCAAUCGUUAUUAUAACACUAUUUUUUAACCUAGAUUGCUUUAACAAUUUGAGUGUUUAUUCUGGAACACUGCAACAUUUUUUCAUAUCGCAGGAAUAUCCAGUCCUUAGUUCCAAGACCCUUUUAUGAUUUUAAAAAGCAUUAUUAUUAUUUAGAACUUCAUGUUGAUUUUUUAAAUACAAGCUUCUUUAUGUCCUAACCUUUUUCAAAGGCACUACCAGAAUUUUGUACAUUUAGAACAUUUAGGUGCAUUAUAAAAUUUUACGAUCAAUUAUAGUAAUUGGUCAUCGGCAAUAUCAUAAAAAAAAUCAUAAGGGUUGUGUACAAGACACGACCGCCCGACGUAAACUACGUGAAACAGUUUGGUGAAAUGAAGAAUCUAGUGCCAUUAUCCAUGAGUAUUACAAAAUUACUCUUUGGAUUUCUUAUGAAAUUUACAUUUUAAAAGGAACUAAUAUAUUUAUGUAAUUAAAACAAAUUUAUUGAACUCCGCCGAUGCUGAGACCGCCGCCCGAGACAUUUCUAAUGAAAUGCCACGCGCGCGUAGUAGUAGUAGUAAAAUUCUUCUUUAUUUCAUCAUUUUCUGUUCUACAAUUAUUUUUUACAUGUACAGUGCUCGGCCGGCUUGGCCCUCCAACUUCAAUUUUAAAUUUUCAUGUUUAUAUUGUUAUUUAAGUGUUAAUAUGAUAUAUCAUGACGGCCUUUAGGAGGCGCUGGUGUGUUUUUUAAAAUUUGAUAACCUAACUACUAUGUACACUAAUAUUUACAA